GUCCGCUUCUUUCCGGGAACCAAUGAACAAACAAGGCUCAGGGGAGGGGCAGAACCGGAAGCGGCAGCGUUCCCCAAUCGAGUUGUCCUCGGCGCGUUUGUAGUCCCACAAUGCACUGCGCUGUUGAUGUCUUAGGGCCCAAGACUGGGCAGUAGUUUUGGCCCUGUGGCUGGAAUGGGUACGAUGAAGGCCAUAUUGUUGGACAGACCUGAUGACGGGUCAAGGAGCUUUAUCCUCUUUUCCGUUUCAAUCAUCCUCUGAUGUUGUGCCCAUUGUCCCCAGCAACAUAUUAUUACAGCAAAUACAAACAGAAAUAUGACCAUAUAGAAGAAUUUCUGGGCUGCAUCUUGAUAAGUAGAGUCUUCCGAAUCAGAAUCAUCAUCAAAUUUUGUUUUGUGCUUCAUUUUUCUCUCUGCAUCAUCAAAAUAAAGAUUAUAUUAUUUC